AAUGAACGCUGGCGGCAUGCCUAACACAUGCCAGUCGAACGACAGCACAGUAAGAGCUUGCUCUUACGGGUGGCGAGUGGCGGACGGGUGACGAAUGCAUCGGAAUCCUCUUUUUCGUGGGGGAUAACGUAGGAAAACUUCCGCUAACACCGCAUACAACCUACGGGUGAAAGCAGGGGUUCUUCGGGCCUUGCGCGAUUGUAAGAGCCGAUGUCGGAUUAGCUAGUUGGCUGGGUAAAGGCCCACCAAGGCGACGAUCCGUAGCGGGUCCGAGAGGAUGAUCAGCCACACUGGAACUGAGACACGGUCCAGACUCCUACGGGAGGACGCAGUGGGGAAUAUUGCGCAAUGGGCGAAAGCCUGAUCCAGCAAAACCGCGUGGGUGAAGAAGGCCUUCGGGUUGUAAAGCCCUGUUGUUGGGAAAGAAAAACAGCAGGUUAAUACCCGGCUGUUCUGACGGUACCCAAAGAAUAAGCACCGGCUAACUUCGUG
rnacentral:rRNA from 1 species